rnacentral:rRNA from 1 species
GACGAACGCUGGCGGCGGGCUUAACACAUGCAAGUCGAACGGAAAGGCCCUGCUUUUGUGGGGUGCUCGAGUGGCGAACGGGUGAGUAACACGUGAGUAACCUGCCCUUGACGUUGGGAUAACUUCAGGAAACUGGUGCUAAUACCGGAUAGGAGCUCCUGCUGCAUGGUGGGGGUUGGAAAGUUUCGGCGGUUGGGGAUGGACUCGCGGCUUAUCAGCUUGUUGGUGGGGUAGUGGCUUACCAAGGCUUUGACGGGUAGCCGGCCUGAGAGGGUGACCGGCCACCUUGGGACUGAGAUACGGCCCAGACUCGUACGGGAGGCAGCAGUGGGGAAUAUUGCACAAUGGGCGGAAGCCUGAUGCAGAAACGCCGCGUGCGGGAUGACGGCCUUCGGGUUGUAAACCGCUUUCGCCUGUGACGAAGCGUGAGUGACGGUAAUGGGUAAAGAAGCACCGGCUAACUACGUG